AUUGAACGCUGGCGGCAGGCCUAAAACAUGCAAGUCGAACGAGUGGCGGACGGGUGAGUAAUGUCUGGGAAACUGCCUGAUGGAGGGGGAUAACUACUGGAAACGGUAGCUAAUACCGCAUACCAUCGGAUGUGCCCAGAUGGGAUUAGCUAGUAGGUGGGGUAAAGGAUUAACUAGGCGACGAUACCUAGCUGGUCUGAGAGGAGGAACAGCGACACUGGAAUUAUGUCACGGUCCGGACUCUGACGGGGUGCAGCAGGGGGGAAGAUUGCACAAUUGGAGCAAGCGUUAUGCAGCCUUGCCGCGUGUAUGAAGAAGGCCUUCAGGUUGUAAAGUACUUUCAGCGGGGAGGCUUUACCCGCAUAAGAAGCACCGGCUAACUCCGUGCCAGCAGCCGCGGUAAUAC
rnacentral:rRNA from 1 species